UGUGGGUCCUCACCAGGGCAUCAGAUGAACGGCUGAGUGACAGAGGCGGCUUCAAACAAGAAUCAGUAAAUAUGAGAAGGAGAUGCUUAUCUGGUAGAGGAAGUGAAGCUGUACAAUGACAGAAACCACGGGGUUUGAGAAGGGUGGGGGGGGGGGGUGGAAUAAGGUGGGUGUCGACCAGGCGGCCAGGCGUUGACCUUGUGCUACACCUCGCUUGAUGGAUAUAGUAGGAGUGUGACUUGUGCUGCACGAAACGUGAGCUCAGAUCAAAGUGGCACAAACAUUUGUUGUCGCCGUUCGAUCGCCAUGGAAACAGCGUGAGGUCCUUUUUUCAGUCUCACUGCUCUCUUCAGCCCUCGUGGAGGUUAAUGGUUCAAGGUGACAAAGUGGCAAUAAUUAUUUUCCUUCUUGGCCACAUGCAGCAGGUCAGCUCUUACACCGACAGUUUUUUUCUCUCUCUCAGAAAGUCUGUGCAUUUACAUUAAACGAUUUAACUUAUACUGCAUUUACAGUACAAUUACAUCGUUUUGGCAAUCAAUGUAGAA
rnacentral:lncRNA from 1 species